rnacentral:rRNA from 1 species
UGCCUCUUANCGGGGGAUAACUAUUGGAAACGAUAGCUAAUACCGCAUAAAAGUCGACAUUGCAUGAUGUUGACUUGAAAGGUGCAACUGCAUCACUAAGAGAUGGACCUGCGUUGUAUUAGCUAGUUGGUGAGGUAACGGCUCACCAAGGCGACGAUACAUAGCCGACCUGAGAGGGUGAUCGGCCACACUGGGACUGAGACACGGCCCAGACUCCUACGGGAGGCAGCAUG